UAACUCCACAGUAUGUCCCCAGAUGGUUCUUAAAGGGCCAGCAGCAGCAUAACAGAAAUUCAUUAUGCCCAAAUCAUGUCUUUAAAGGGCAAUACAUCCCAGGGGCCAUAGUCACAUGGCAGGAGGCUGGCAAUCAGUCUUCUCCAAUGCCCAGUGGCGAGGUCGGUUUCGCCACAUAGUUCUUCCGUUGCGACAAUCUGGGGGUGGUGCAGGCUGUAUAUCAUGUGACGGUGUCCUCCACCCCGGUGGUACUCUGGUUGCGGCGCCGUUUGAGUCUGGGAAGUAUCUCGUUAGGCGGGGUUAUCCCAGGGGUUUCACAAUGUAAUGGCCGAUGCUCUAUAUUGUUCGAUGUGGGACAUGCUUCGGGUGGGGGGCUCCAUGGGGCCAAAUAUAGGGCAGUGGAGAUGUGGUCGCUUGGUCUAGCUGAGCCGUGGGUCGGUCUCUGAGGCGGCAUGGGGCCCGCUACAGUAAGGUGUGAGUGCUCGGGCCGUAUAGGAGCAUUUCCUUGAAGGGGCUCCAGGAUUGGACUGCUCGUCUACAUGUUUUGUUCCGUCCCUUAAGAGCGUUGGGGGCUGGGCGGUAGUCCUCCUUAGUGAGUUCUUCAAUUUGCAGGGCUCGGCUUCCCAUUCAUGUUCGGUCGUCUCCAGGUGGGAGGGUGUUUUGGUGGGUUGAGUGCGUAUCGGAAUGGACUUCCUUCGGGUUUCACCACUCGACGGCUGUUGACUUUGGUGAGGGUAAGUUGAUAGCGGUUGGCUGAUUCAUCAAUAGUAUCUGUUCAUUUCUUGGACGUUGCGGGGUUGGCAUAACCUGGCCCUUCCGCAUUCUCCUGAGGUAGAUGGAAUGCACAGGGUAAUAGUUGGGCUCCUAACAUGAUGUACUGGGUUCUCGGGAUAGUUUGGAUUAUGCCAUUCUGAUCAGGGGCGGUGCCGGGUUCCGUCAUUUGUCCUAUUUUCCUUAGGUGAGUGCUAUUCCGUCCACUGGAUUAUUCUGUUUGGUUCUCGGAGAUGGGUUUUCUCUCCUGCAUCCAUUUCUUUGGGGUAUUCCACUCGAAUUCCUGGAUAAGGAUGGUGGGGAGUUCUUUCAUUACGGUUAGGGGAGGCUACAGACGCCACCAGGCUCGGCGUGCCUGCGCCAAUGGUUCGAAUGGUGGGAGUCAGGGUGGUGGGUUCCUUAGGUUCACUCUGCCGGUCUCCGAAUGGAUUUCUCUCCGCGGUUACUGUCUCACCCCCGCCUCCCCGGAAUUAGGGAUGGUGGGAUGCUCAUAUGUAAUUUGGGCAAGGAGGCGGGGGGCGAGUGGUUGGAUCUUACGCCUUCGGAAGCGGAGGUUCAGUGGUCUGGCACCAGAUACAUGAUGGGGGUGUGGCUUCUCCUUCUAUGGGAUCAGCUGUCCCCCCUCCUGGGGGUACCGGGGUUUUUUGUCAUCUCUGGGUGGGAUGACCUGGGUUCGGUUACGGUUUGGGAUUUGGGUGCUCUUAAAUCUGGACAUGUUACGCAUUCUGUUUCUUCCCAGAUGUCCUCAGGGG